rnacentral:tRNA from 1 species
GGGUAUAGCUCAAGUGAUAGAGCGCAUUUCUAGUAUGCAUGAGGUCCUGGGUUCAAUCCCCAGUACAUCCU